ACGAAGUACUUCGGUAUGUAAAGUUCUUUUAUCAAGGAAGAAAAGCAAAUGGCGAACCAUUUGUUUGCCGGUACUUGAUGAAUAAGCCCCGGCUAAUUAUGUGCCAGCAGCCGCGGUAAGACAUAAGGGGCAAGUGUUAUCCGGAAUUAUUGGGCGUAAAGGGUGCGUAGGCGGUCUAGUAAGUCAGUGGUGUAAUGGCAACGCUUAACGUUGUCCGGCUAUUGAAACUGCUAAACUUGAGUUAGAUAGAGGCGAGUGGAAUUCCAUGUGUAGCGGUAAAAUGCGUAAAUAUAUGGAGGAACACCAGAGGCGUAGGCGGCUCGCUGGGUCUUAACUGACGCUGAGGCACGAAAGCGUGGGGAGCAAACAGGAUUAGAUACCCUGGUAGUCCACGCCGUAAACGAUGAGUACUAAGUGUCGGGUUAAACCGGUACUGAAGUUAACACAUUAAGUACUCCGCCUGAGUAGUACGUACGCAAGUAUGAAACUUAAAGGAAUUGACGGGACUCCGCACAAGCGGUGGAUCAUGUUGUUUAAUUCGAAGAUACCCGAAAAACCUUACCAGGUCUUGACAUGUUUUUGCAAAAUGAUAGUAAUAUCGUGGAGGUUACCAGAAACACAGGUGGUGCAUGGUUGUCGUCAGCUCGUGUCGUGAGAUGUUAGGUUAAGUCCUAAAACGAGCGAAACCCUUAUCGUUAGUUGCCAGCACGUUAUGGUGGGGACUUUAACGAGACUGCCAAUGAUAAAUUGGAGGAAGGUGAGGAUCACGUCAAAUCAGCAUGCCCUUAUGCCUGGCUACAACGUGAUAAAUG
rnacentral:rRNA from 1 species